CACUCCUGCUGAGGAUUAUGAUAAUGCUGAAGAGGUACCGGUGCCUGAGGCUCUUCCUGCUUCUUGGAUGAGCGAGGGGGACGUGCCCCCCGAGGAGAAUGGGAUGAUGGCCUCUCAGACAGGCUCUUCUCUGCAGUUCUCUGAAGAGGUAGCUGGUCCUGGGAAAGAAGAUAGUCCCUGGCUGCUCCAGGGGGAAGAAGGUGACCCGGGGUAUGAUGACAUUGAACUAAAUGCCCCUUGAACAUCUACCAUGGUUUUCACCUGAUGUUGCAUUAAAAAUGAGAUAAGGCCUCAGAUAUUCUAAUUGCCUGUAUUUCAAUAGAGUAGUGCUGACCUAUAAUGGUAUUAUAUGGAAAUUACUUAAAAUGAAAUAUUCUGAAUAAAGUUCUUUUUGCUUUGAUGAUAA